rnacentral:rRNA from 1 species
GUUGAGAAUCAUUGCUCUAAAGGCACCAGAUCCAAUUUGAUCUUGGAAGCUAAGCAGAGUCACUCUUGAUUUUUACUUGAAUGGGAGACGAAUGAAUACCAGGCACUGUAAACU